CAGCACUACAGCUGAAUUAAUAUGAGUGUUCCAGUCCUUCAGCGAUUCUUUGGUGGAGAGGAUACAAGGCCUGAUUUUCGUCUCAGCAGGGAGGACAUCAGUGAACUCCUGACAGUGCUGGAGAUGGACAGGCAUCAUGGGUAGAGGCCGACUCUGGAAACCCUGGUGAUCCUGUUUUGGUUGGCAACUGGGACAUCCUACAGCUUAGUUUGCAGGGCCUUUGAAUGCCCCUACCAACUGUCCCAAUUGUUAUAUUUAUAAUGUAUGAAAAACUAUAAAAUCAGCCACUUUUCUUUACAUUCACAACACUGGCAUACCAUCAGAGUAUGCACAUGAAUAUGGACCUAGAGCUGACUUGAUACACCUGAUUUACAAUAUUGCUACACAUUCUUUCUUAUAACAACCAAAUUAUUGAUCUCAUUUUACCUGCAGGUGGUUGCAGCUUGUGCAAUAUUGCACAACAUAUGCAUUGGUGUAGGUGACCUCUUGGAAGAUGGAGAUGUUCCACAGGACAACAAUCAGCCUCUCCGAGGAAAUAAUGAUGACAGCCGGAGCGGAGCAGCAUGGAUCAUGACUACUCUUUUCAGAGAGGAUUGUGGGUAAUUGAAGGCAGCGAAGGAUACGUCUGAUCCAUCCAUCAGAACAGGCAGAAUGAAGGGCGCGAAACAAAGGCUGCCUUCCAGGUCCUUCAGAUUGAGAUGGCCUUCAGCAGCGCUUGAUGACGUCGCAGCCGAGAUUUGCAGCCUUUUAAUGCUGAGAGUACUAGUCUACAAGCCUCAGAAGGACUGGACUAUGAAGGACGCAGUCUUCUGUUUGAGAAGCACCCAAAGUUUCUUACGCAGAGCUUUCAAAAUGACAGAGGAGAAGAUGACUUUUCAGCUUACAAGAACAUCGCUGAAUUACUGUAAAUGAUGUAAGUAACAGUGCUCAGUUGAAGGUGGUAGUUCACUAUUAGCUAAUCAGUAACUACUGUUUUUUCAUUCCUCCCAGAGAACUACUAAGAACUACUAUAUACAGGUUCAUAAUUAACAUGAAUGAUGCAUAAUGUAUAAUUAAUUCUAAAGUGAAGGUCAUGGUAGCCCAAUAGUGAUGACUGAAGUAUUACCAAAUCCUUUAGAAGGAAUUACUAAUUAUUUGGAUCAGUAUUCUGAAGUGAGAAACAUGAUAACUCUCUAGUAACUACUGGAGUCAUUGUAAACUUUUGAGGUUAAUAGUUAAUUUUACUAGUUACUAGAGUGUUAAUAAUGCAUUACUCAUUUGUUCCUGUGUAGUUAUUCAUUAAUGAAGGAUCAGUUUUCUAAAGUGUUUCCAAUCAGGCAAAUAAGAUCACUGGACAUAAACACUCACUCUAGGACUUGUUUGAUCGUUUUAUGAAAAAAAAAAAAAGAAAAAUGUCAAUUGUGAUUUUUAAAGACCGUACUCACCCCCUUCACUCUGGUUUUGAAAUGCUCACAUCUGGGCGAAGACUCAAAAUUCCUUUGGCCAGAAGUAAUGUGUAUAAAACAUUAUUUGUCCCAAUGGCAGUGAUUAUUAUAAAUCACACUAUUUUCUGAAAUAAUGCAAGAGAACGGUUGGCAAUAUAGCGCUUUUUAAUUGAUUGUUUAGAUGAAUUUUUAUUGUUGUGGGAUGUUUGGAAAUAUGUUAGGAAUGAUGUGGAUAGUGUAAUUCUGUUUAUUUCUGUGUUUGUGUGUCAGUGUGUGUCGUGUUGUUAAGCACUUCUGUGGAUGUAUUUAUGUAUAUGUAUGACACCAGUGUCAAAGACAAAUUUCUGCUCCGUGACAAACAGAAUGAACAAUAAAGUUAACUUAAGCUCA